UACGUAGGGUGCGAGCGUUGUCCGGAAUUACUGGGCGUAAAGAGCUCGUAGGUGGUUUGUCACGUCGUCUGUGAAAUUCCGGGACUUAACCUCGGGCGUGCAGGCGAUACGGGCAAUACUUGAGUACUGUAGGGGAGACUGGAAUUCCUGGUGUAGCGGUGAAAUGCGCAGAUAUCAGGAGGAACACCAAUGGCGAAGGCAGGUCUCUGGGCAGUUACUGACGCUGAGGAGCGAAAGCAUGGGUAGCGAAUAGGAUUAGAUA
rnacentral:rRNA from 1 species